rnacentral:lncRNA from 10 species
AGCAGCAACUGUGAUUUUUUAAAAUUAGCUUUUUAUUGGAUCCAUGUUUGUUUUACAGUUAGGAUUCUGCUAUGGACUAAAUUGUGCACCCCUGGUCCCCACGCUCAAAUUCAUAUAUUCAAGCCAUAACUCCCAGUACCUCCAAAUGUAACCAUAAUUGAAGAUAAGGUUUCGAAAGAGGUGAUUACAUUAAAAUGAUGUCAUUAGGGUGGGGCCCUACUUCAAUAUGUCUGGUGUCAUAAGAAAGACAACAGGAGCACAAGUGCAUAAAGGGACGACCAUCUGCAAGCCAAGGAGGAGAGGCCUCAGAAGAACCCCAGACUGCCAGCACUUCAUCUUUGACCUCCAGCCUCCAGAACUAGGAGAAAAUAAAUUUCUAUUGUUUAAGCCA